UUGCCUACACAGAAAGAACCCCAGCCCUGCUACUUUGAUGAACAACAACCCAAAAUAGCCAUAACUGACCAGCCAGUCCAGCGGCGUAGAACAAGUUCCAAACUGAGACGGUGCUGGGGGGCUGGAGGAGUGCUGGUGUCAUGGUGAACAAUGUUCCGGAAGGUCAAAAAGCAUCGCAGCAGCUCCCAAAGCAGUAAGAUCAGUACCAAGAGCAAGGAACAAGGCCAGGCCAUCUGCAGGUGUUGUCUGCCUCGUCCGACUGUGUGCUGACAUCAGAAGUCCUAAAGAGCAGUUGCCCUCAGGGACGUGGUGGAGACGGGUAGCACCAUGAACCAGUCGGGAGCCUGGAAACCAUAGUUUACAGCAGGUUCACAUCAGGGGCGUAGCACAGUCCGCAAGAUCCGAGCAAGGCUCCCGCCCAACCCCAGUCAUGGGGCAGAGAGAAAAAUGUGCAGUUGUAUAGCUAAUCUCAUGCCAUUUAACACAUUUUGCCAUGAGGCUGAGAGAAAAUGUUGCUGUUUUAGAUCUCAGGGAUUCUUGAAAGACGGGACAAGCUCAACUUUCUUAAACAGCAUUUUAAAUAUAUAUUUUGAUAGACCAAAGUAUCAGCUAUCACACCAUGUAAAGGAACAACCAAUUUUUUAUUUUUUAUAAAUAGCAUGUUUGCAUAAAAUGUCUACUCUUGUCAGACACCAUACAUGGCAUUCCACUUACAAUUAUUAUCCAACAAGUGUUUAAAGGCCUUGGUUGUUUAAUUCUAACAUUUGAUUAUUCAAAUAUGUAAUACAAAUCUCCAAACUUCUUUUAGUUUUGUUUUAUAGCACUAUAUAAUGCUCCAGGGCUCAUUUAGUUAGCAUUUUGGCAUGUUUUUCUACAUUUAGGACAUUAACAUUUAUGAGGCCAACAUUAUCCAUUAGGUCUAGCACAGCAAUUACUUCAAUUGUUUAAGCAUAUGGUGCAGAACAGUGAUUAAAAUAUUUGUGUCAGAAUAUUGACAACAAAAAAUGUAUCAUAAGGGCGUUAACAAGCCACUGACAGACUUGACAACUGAUACUCAAAACAGACAUAUUUUUGCCUCUAAAAAUAAAAGUUAAAUACAAAACAUUUUUAAAAUCUGGAAAAUUAUUUGAAAAUCCCCAAAAGAAACAACAUUCCUGUCAUAUCUUUCAGCACUGACUUUAGACAAAAAUCAGAUCAAGUUGAUGGUUUACGGAGUUCACAAAAUGUUUAUUUUUGUACUUCAUUCAAGUUGUAUACACAGUAGCAAUUUAGUUUCUCCUCAGUUACUUUAUAACUCUAAAACCUAAUUAAAUGUGACAUUUGAACCAAAAUGAAUAUCCUAUCGUAAUCUAUCAGGCAUAUGGAGCUGACAGUUCACGGUUGUGACCAUGGUGAUUUCAAUAUUGUUUGUUUAAAUCUAUCAAAAGUCAACUUUACAGACCAUUAAUGGUCUUGUUGCACUACAUGUAAUGAGGACAUGAAUAAGGGGUCCUUAUGGUAAUGAUGACCCUGCUUAGGAGUUGACCAAAUUUCCGGACACAUCUUUUAGAGAAAUAUUCUUUAAAGCCACAUAGGGCUAGUGCAAGAAACUACAUAAGAUCAUUUUUCAUAAAAUUAUUGCCAGUUUUUUUUUUUUUGAGUUUGAAAUUGGGAUCAUUUGCUCCAGACCAGGGCAUUUUCAGGCAUAAAGCCUACAUGGAAAUUAAUAAUAUUGAAAGUAUUUAGAAAAUUCCAUAAACAAAUAUCUUCCUUAUAAAACUCCCCUAAAUGUGAAUGUUAAGCUCAAAUAACAAAAAGUUUCCCUGCUGGACAAGGAUUGUCCUGACUUUCAAGAAUCCCUAAGCUAAUUUCCUGCUAUUUUGCCAUGAGGCUGAGGGAAAAUAUUGCAGUUUUAAAGCUAAUUUCUUGUAAUUCUUAAUGUUUUUGUAAUGGCAUGUGAGAUGCUAUCUGGGGGCCCAACGCCCCAUUUGCGGGGGUUGUGUAAUACGCCAAUGGGUCACAUGACUUACCCAGCAUGCUCUGCAACACCUCACAUACACCAUCCACCUGUCAGUUGACCAUCAUGAGUAUCUUAAUCUUAUUUCAUGUAAAUACAUUUCACAGUACAGGGACCUCAGUGCAUGUCCCCGUCAUGGCUGGACUUGGAAAGGAUGUGGCUGUUUGAUAUCUAGGUCUCUGAUGACAUUAAUACAGUAUCCAGAGACUCCAUUGACCUCCUUUAUAACCAUGGUACACCAGUCACUAUAUCCACCAUGGAUGGAAGAACAUACAAGACCAUCAUAAAUAUGCUGUAGACCCUCUUUCUUCCCUACCUCCCUCUCUUACCCCCCCCUAUACACACAAAAGGGGUGGUAGCAGGACAUGCGUUUCUGCCUCUCGUUCCUCUCUCCAUACCUCUCCUACACUCCCUUACUCCAGAUGGAUAUGUUAAUACUGAAUAAUUCAUGAAAAUGUGUUUUA